UGUUUACAGUUCGGAAAUUUUGCCACGGGAUUUGCGCGCGGGAUUUGGCACGGGAAUCAAUUCGGAAAAUUUUUCCGCCGACUGUUCUCCUCAUCUCUCCACAAAUAACUUUGACGUUUGUUUACGUGUUUACAACGGUCCCAGAGAAAAUAUUUUGUCUGAUCGGUCCAUUCGUUUCGUUUUUUGGUGCUGCAAUUGAUCAUUCAUCGUUUAAUAAUUAUUCAAAAGUGUGCCAUCCGAUGUCUGCAUGUUGCUGCUGCUCAAACCACCCAAACCCGUACCUGACCGUCCGGUGUUCGUGGUUCCAGGAACUAUGGUACAUGCUGAAAAAUUCGAUUGAAAGCGGUCGCCAAAAAUGCUUCGACCCAGGAGGGCAAGUGAAAGUAACGGCACAGCUCGGCUUGUGCUCAGCGGAUCGCUGAAAUUAAUAAACAUCGAUCAACUCUGGGUCAUCGAGCAGCGGCGCACCAAGGCUUCGCUCCAAAAGGCUGGUUUUUAUGUCCCGAGGACGCAAUUGAACUACAAUACGCCCAUUGCGAGUCCGCAUCUAUACUACUACUUCGCUGUUGGAUCCACCCUUGGAGCACGGACAACAGCGAACAUGAUGACGCAAGCAGGACCAUUGCUCGGAGUCUACACGGCGUCAGAACCACGGAAGGUGUUAGUUAUCUAACACCUAUUUCAAUUUCUAAAGCAGUCCGCAACAAAAUUUCUAGAGGAAUUGGUAAUUAUCAUACAGCUUCCCCCAAUCUGCUUAUGGUUUCAUGUAGGCAUUCUUUUUGCUUCUUUUAGCUCUAAUUUAAACUGGAGAAGCAGUCACCAAAAUUCUGCAGAUGCCUUCCAAUUGCUUCCAUCGGUUUCGGAUUCAAGAUCGGCGCCGGCAAACUAAUUACGUGGCGGGUAGCACAGAUGGCAAACGGGAACAUGACGACGGCGCACCAUGAUUCGAGCGAGCUCGAACGGUGGCUGUCAUUUCGUUCCAACGGUAUCCCGAAACGCAUGGAAUCCAAUUUCACCGGUGCGUGUGACACCGGCUUUCGACCGACUCGAUUGACGACUUUAUCGAAUUGGUUAAAUACCCCUCCAACUGCGGACUAUUUUGCACAAAAUGAUAUCCGCUGACAAAGCUGUUGAAAAAAGUUGACUGAAAAAUAUUGACGAGUUUCAACGGGACAAGGCCUGCACAACAUGGACACGGGAUGUUCCCCAGCGGAACUAGCUUUUUAUAUGGAACUAGCAUCGCGACAAAACGAUCCAGAUGCUGUAUAAAUCGACUUGUGAUGAGUGAAAGCGCAGCCGUCUUCCAGUGCUAUAAAAAAUAUUCACUCCCGCACUAAAUACACCAUGUACAGGACCCUGAUAGGACUGGUGGUAUUCUACGGGCAUGAGAUCUGGACUAUGCUCAAGGAGGAUAGCAAGUUUUCGAGCGUCGGGUGCUAAGAACAACCGUUGGCGGUGUGCAGGAGAACUAUAUGAGGCGGCGAAAGCUGGAAUGAAACGAUGGGCAGGGCAUGUCGUGAGAAUGCCGGACAACAAGCCUACAAAGCUGGUGUUCGCAAGAGAUCCGUAUAGUACAAGAAGAUCUGGAGGGUAGCAUGCAAGAUCAGAUGCAGAACGAUCUGGCAAAUGUAGAACGCGGAGGAAUUGUUGAAUCAGUUUUAUUGUAAAAUGUAAUACUAAAUAAAUAAAUGAAUGCUAUGAAAAAUGACCAAAAGUAGUGUAACUCCUCAACGAAAAAAAAGGGAAAAAU